AUUGAAAAGUUAAUGUAUAGUACUUUUUAAAACAGUCGUGUUAGAAUUCUACUAGUUAUUAGGCGACACUAAUUUUAAAGCUGUUUACAUUUUGUAAUCACUGUGUGAUAAACACGGCUGGUAAGUGAGUUCAUGUAAAUGAUUCGAUAUCCGUGAUAACAAGUGAAAGAAUUAUAUAGUUAAGCCGGUUUUACCGAGUUAAUGUAGAAUGUUGCAUUGUAAUUAACGGAGCAUACCAUUUAAUUAUUUUUGCCUCUGUUACUCUCUAUCUCAGACAGGUAGGUUUGUUGUUGUAUAACACUCCGUAAAUCAUCAAUCUGUAAUUUUUUUCCAGUGGUAUGCAGUUUUCUACGAAUGAUUACGACAAUGACGGCUUUUAUAGCAGCUGCGCGCAAAGGUACAGAGUAGCUUGGUGGUACAAUACUUAUCAUAGCUCCAAUCCUAACGGACUUUACCUGAACGAAACACAUUCUUCUUUUGCCGAUGGAGUCAACUGGCUCACGUUUAGAGGCCUGUACUAUUCACUAAAACGCACUGAAAUGAAGGUUAAAACCAAAUCCUAAAUCUUUGAGUUAGGGUAGGGACUCCCUAAUGCACCUUUUGUCAAAAUGAAGAAGAGUCUAUGUAGUGUUUACUGUAUUAUUCUGAGUUUUCAGGUUUUUUUUUGUGUUUUCUGGAAAGAGCUUUUUAUCAUGCGUGGAUAGCGAAGGAAAUAAAUAUUUCGUUAAUCUGUAUUUUUAGAUUUUUUUUUUCAUAUCCUCAAUCUUGAAAAUCAUUUUUUCUGAAAAAUCAUACACUUCUACUCGGCAAACCUUUCAUCUAUAAUUGUAAAUACUCCAAACUUGUUCCUCGGCUCUCGUAAUUUUUCAAGCAGAGUUGAAAGCUAUCCAUAAACUAGAAUUAGAUGUUGCAAAACACAACUGAAUACUGAGUAUACAUUUGGAAUAAUGGGAACUCCUUUUGUUUUUUGUAUCUUGAUAACUUAACGUUACAUUUUUUUUUUUAAUUUCUUAUUUCCUCUUUUAAAUAACCUAUCCGGUGCCUGUCGCAAAAGUCACUGAAAAGUAGCACAACUCUGUGAAUGCAUAAAAUUUAUAAUUAAUGUAGCCGACAAGUUAUUUGGCUGAUAAGUGUUUCUAUGCAUUGUUUUCUAUUUUGUUUUGUAAUAUUGUAAUAUUACGGCAUACUGAUUACAUAUUGUAAGUAGUCUGUUAGUUACAGUGCUCAUUUGGGAUCGAGUAGGAUUAUGCUGACGCCAAUUCCCUAGUCUCGAUAUUGAAUACCCAUAAUUAUUGUAAUUCAUGACUGUACUUAUUACAAAUUUCCCUUUUCAUAAUUGCUUUCACAAUUAGACCCACCUGUCACUAGCUAAACUCAUUGUACUGGCAUAUCUGCUUGUAAAUUUAAUUUAAUUCUUCUAUUUUCUUCUUUUCUUCUUUUAUUGUGAUUAAAUGUGCUAUUGCUUAUUACAUUGGCCGCCUCGAUCAGCCUAAGCUAUAUGCGGGUAGCGUAAGUUGUAAUUUUGAUUUGGGAUGGCAAUAAAUAAAACUAUGUAAUAAAUUAUAAACUUUAGAGAUAGUGAAGUUUUUGUAGAAUUGUAAAUGAAUGCUAGUAAUUAAAAUCAUUAAUAAAAUCGAAAAAAGGAAAACUUUCGAAUGGCGAUGAAGUCAAGUGGGAUAAUUUUAGAGAGUAUCGCUCUUUACUAAGGGACUAAAACACAUAGAGAUGAUUAAAGUUGAAAUUAAAGGAGGCGCUCGGAUUACGCUUGAGAAAGAACGAGAGAAAUGAUUACCAGUAUUACUGAAGAGCGAAAAAAAACGUUGCAUUUCAUUUAUUCGAGUCCUUCACUUAUUGAAGGUUAUCUUUCUGAAUUAGAUCAUUGUAUCAUUACUGUGUGGCAACUGUCUUAGCAAACAUUUCUACCCAAAGUGAUUUUUUCGUUCGCUUUAAUACUAACACAUAUGGUUAGCACAAAUAGUAAUUCAUAAACUUAUACAUCAUUAUAACUUAGAAAACAGUCCUAAGAAAAUACGCGCGCGCUGAUUGGUUCAAAAUCGUGUUUCUAUUUGAGAUUUCUAUCGCGUGAUAGUUGACGAGGGGGCAGUCCGAGUCAGUUAUCACGCGAUCGAUCGAUCGACAGAUGACAUAUAGAUGACAUUAACAAGAUCUUGAAGUUUCUGUAUUGGCUCAGGCUCCGCUCCUUCAGUUCCUCUGCAUGAUAGCGCAAUCUGACUGUCAAACACCCUGAUGUGUUUAAGCGGGAAAAGAGCUGUUAGGGAUGUUCAUGGCGCUAUUGGGACGAUUUUUGCUUUAAAAACAAACAAGAUGAACGUUUUAUGUUACUAUUUGCAAUGUAUUUUAAAGUGCCACUGAAACGAAAUUUUCGUAUCUGAGAUUUUUGCAUAAUAAUAAAGUUUGAACCUUACUUACAAGCGCUGUGAAGUUUUUUUGGUCCAACGGAGCGCGGAAAGCUUUCUUUUAUCCCUUUGAACUGGGCUAG